rnacentral:rRNA from 1 species
UACGAAGGGGGCUAGCGUUGUUCGGAAUCACUGGGCGUAAAGCGCACGUAGGCGGAUUGUUAAGUCGGGGGUGAAAUCCUGAGGCUCAACCUCAGAACUGCCUCCGAUACUGGCAAUCUCGAGUUCGGAAGAGGUUGGUGGAACAGCUAGUGUAGAGGUGAAAUUCGUAGAUAUUAGCUAGAACACCAGUGGCGAAGGCGGCCAACUGGUCCGACACUGACGCUGAGGUGCGAAAGCGUGGGUAGCAAACAGG